rnacentral:rRNA from 1 species
GACAGAGGGUGCAAACGUUGUUCGGAAUUACUGGGCGUAAAGCGUGUGUAGGCGGUUAGGAAAGUCGGAUGUGAAAGCCCCGGGCUCAACCCGGGAAGUGCACUCGAUACUACCUAACUAGAGUAUCGGAGAGGUUGGUGGAAUUCUCGGUGUAGAGGUGAAAUUCGUAGAUAUCGAGAGGAACACCGGUGGCGAAGGCGGCCAACUGGACGAAUACUGACGCUGAGACACGAAAGCGUGGGGAGCAAACAGG